rnacentral:miRNA from 1 species
GCAGACACAUUCCAGCCAAUCAGCAGCAGACCCUCCCUCCCAUACCCUCCCACCUCCUGGACAGCUCACUAAGAAUGCAGCUUCAAAAUGGAUGCUGUCCAGGAGGUGGGAGGGUCUGGGAGGGAGGGUCUGCUGCUGAUUGGCUGGAAUGUGUCU